UUUCAUCGUGAAUAUAUAAGCUCGUCCUUGCUCUUUCGACCAAACAAGAAGAAAAAUAAACCUUCUCUCACGUCUCUCAAUAGCUGAUUCUUUUAUAGUCAAAGAUUUAAAAGAAGAAUAAUCGGUCAGCUUCACCAAAAUACAGAUAUGGGGUUAAGGACAAUGGAGCUUCUAUAUGUGUUUUCACAUCGUCUUCCAUGUGCAAGGUAAAAUUCAUUUGUCUGUUUUACUUUUCUCUAAGCCUCCAAAAGACAAAUAUUGGGGGAUCAUCAUUUUUCGGUUUGCAGUUACGGUUAGUCUUGAUUCCGGUUUAUUGUGAUCAAUAAACCUUAUAUCUUGGGCCCAUGUGAAAACUAGUACUGGGCGUGAUUUAAGGUCGAAUCCAUCUUUUGUGCACUAUUGGGCCCUAUUGUCACUCUACAUUCUUCUACAAGUCUACAAGUUUUCCAAUGAAAAGACCUCGUUAAAGAAAAACAACAAGUACCUCAAAAACACCAAAAA